rnacentral:rRNA from 1 species
GAGAUCCUAGGGGGGCAGCAGUGGGGAAUAUUGGACAAUGGGGGGAACCCUGAUCCAGCGACGCCGCGUGAGUGAAGAAGUAUUUCGGUAUGUAAAGCUCUAUCAGCAGGGAAGAAAAUGACGGUACCUGACUAAGAAGCCCCGGCUAACUACGUGCCAGCAGCCGCGGUAAUACGUAGGGGGCCAGCGUUAUCCGGAUUUACUGGGUGUAAAGGGAGCGUAGACGGUGCAGCAAGUCUGAUGUGAAAGGUCGGGGCCCAACCCCGGGACUGCAUUGGAAACUGUUGAACUGGAGUACCGGAGAG